GGGGAAUAUUGCACAAUGGGCGAAAGCCUGAUGCAGCAACGCCGCGUGAGUGAUGACGGUCUUCGGAUUGUAAAGCUCUGUCUUUUGGGACGAUAAUGACGGUACCAAAGGAGGAAGCCACGGCUAACUACGUGCCAGCAGCCGCGGUAAUACGUAGGUGGCAAGCGUUGUCCGGAUUUACUGGGCGUAAAGGGUGUGUAGGCGGAUGUUUAAGUGAGAUGUGAAAUACCCGGGCUUAACUUGGGUGCUGCAUUUCAAACUGGAUAUCUAGAGUGCAGGAGAGGAGAAUGGAAUUCCUAGCGUAGCGGUGAAAUGUGUAGAGAUUAGGAAGAACACCAGUGGCGAAGGCGAUUCUCUGGACUGUAACUGACGCUGAGGCACGAAAGCGUGGGGAGCAAAC
rnacentral:rRNA from 1 species